ACCUACGGGGCGCAGCAGUGGGGAAUAUUGCACAAUGGGGGAAACCCUGAUGCAGCAAUGCCGCGUGGGUGAAGAAGCACUCCGGUGCGUAAAGCCCUGUCAGCAGGGAAGAAAAUGACAGUACCUGACCAAGAAGCCCCGGCUAACUACGUGCCAGCAGCCGCGGUAAUACGUAGGGGGCAAGCGUUAUCCGGAUUUACUGGGUGUAAAGGGUGCGUAGACGGGAAAUUAAGUUAGUUGUGAAAUCCCUUGGCUUAACUGAGGAACUGCAACUAAAACUGAUUUUCUUGAGUACUGGAGAGGAA
rnacentral:rRNA from 1 species